rnacentral:rRNA from 1 species
CAGUCGCCGCGGUAAUACGAAGGGUGCAAGCGUUAAUCGGAAUUACUGGGCGUAAAGCGUGCGUAGGCGGUGAGUUAAGUCUGCUGUGAAAUCCCCGGGCUCAACCUGGGAAUGGCAGUGGAUACUGGCUCGCUAGAGUGUGUCAGAGGAUGGUGGAAUUCCCGGUGUAGCGGUGAAAUGCGUAGAGAUCGGGAGGAACAUCAGUGGCGAAGGCGGCCGUCUGGGACAACACUGACGCUGAGGCACGAAAGCGUGGGGAGCAAACAGGAUUAGAUACCCCCGUAGUCCCUGUCUCUUAUAC